GAAACUUCUGGAUAGGCUGUACACAUGGUUUCUAGCUUUUCUGACAGAUUCGUAGGGUCACCUGAUUCAUUCUUUGUCCUAACAAUUCAUAAGAAAAUAGUAUCUUUUAAUAAGAAAGUUGUAAUAGUAUUUUUUAAUGAGUUGAUAUAUGAUUUAUUAAAUCUCCUAAUUAAUUUAUUCAUGUCAGAAAUUUAAAUAUAAGUUAUUUUUAACAUUAAGAACUGUUCAAACAAGCUCCUGAUCAACAUUUUUAAAACCACUAUUACAGACUACUCAGAUAUUACUAAGUUGUAGAAUCUUCUUUGCUUUUUAUAUACCCAAGUCAAGACUCUUAAACAUUUUUAGUAAGGAAGGUCC
rnacentral:lncRNA from 1 species